AUGCCUCUCAGAACCUUAAAAAACCAACCUGACUGCAGUUCUGAAUCCGCCCCGCGAAUGGAGAAUCUCCUCGGUGCCGGCGAUGGUAAGGCAGUUCUCGGGUUUCGGCACCAAUUCUCACAGGUGCUAUUGUCUCGCCAGCAAGAACACACGCGUGAGAAACCGGAUCCUUUUGCAGCAACUUUAUUAUACCAGUUUCAACAUGAAGAGGAAGACCCCAAGCACCAAAAAGGUGCCGCCUAUAUACACCUUAGUGUGGCAUGUCCACACCCGAUUGGCUGCUCUCCCAGAGCCUCACCACCACGCCCCGGGAUAGGCAGUGACUUGGCACGAAUUUACUCUUGCACCUGCGCACAUUACUUGUUUACCAGUUAG
rnacentral:lncRNA from 1 species